AGAGAAACUGCUGCUAUGUUUACAUAUGGGUUAAUCCAGCCUCUAGUGGCUGUCUCUUUGACAGCCGCUAGAGGCACUUCCGCACUUUUCACUGUGAAAAUCAGUGAGAAGACGCUGACCUCCAUAGGAAAGCAUUAAGCAAUGCUUUCCUAUGGACUGAUUGAAUGUGCGCGCGGUUCUUGCCGCGCAUUCAGCAUUGACGACGGAAGAGGGAGGAGAGCCCGGCCCUGGAG